CUGCAGCAAGGCCUAGGCAUGACUAUUUAAACAGUUGGAGGGAGAGGAGACAUUCAGUUGAACAGCUCAACUUCUUCCUGGUUUUAUUCUAUUUUCUGGGUGAAUAGAAUGAGCCUCAUUGAACCUAGCUACUAGAAGCUAGUUUCUUCAGUUACUUUUUUCCCCUCUACGAAUAUAUCUGUGGAGGUACAAUUCCAUGAAUGCUAAUAUAUUCUUGGGAUUUAGUAAGUCUAUAAAUAUGAUACCUUUCAGCAAUUAAAUCUGCUUUGCCCAAUUUAAUUUACUGAAGUAAAAUUAACAUGAGCACUCAGUUAUCCCCUCUUCCCACCCAUACUUAUAUCAUUGAUGUGCUUGCUGUCUUCCAAUUUAAGAUCUUAAUCUGAAGCUGAUGUUCUGGAGUUUAAACCCAUUAUGGUUUUAUGCAGAGAUAUUUUGUGGUACUUUAGCCCUUUCUGAGAAAAAUAGGUGUAAUUCAAAACUUAAUUUUAAAAAAUAAGAGUAUUUCUAUUACAAAGAUAUUUUUAAAUUAUUGACAUAUUUCUUGCUGAGUAAGGCGAGAAGCAACCAUAUUCCCUAUGAUACUCAACAUAAAGCAAGUAUUUGAACUAGAUUACAAAAGUAAUGAAGGCUUUUUAUACAUUGCACUCAACGUAUUCCCUCCUUCAGAGGUGGUGACUUGCAGCCAUGACUGAAAAAUUGUCUCUACCCUCUGAGGUCAUGUCUGGAUCUGUGCGGUUAGAACUUGGGCCUGUUGGGAGAAGAGGCUGAAGCCUGAAAGCAGUUUACAUAAAAGCUUUCAGUGAUGGUGGUUUUUAAACAGGCUUGCUAUGUGCUGGUAGCUUCUUUGUGCAUCUUGCCUAGACAAUUUAAAAUAUUUGUUCCAUGUCCCCCUGCAUUUCUAAACCAAAUCAAUUGGCUGCCAUUAGAAUAACUUAGACUCUUCAUCCCACCCCCACUCAUCCAAGAGAGGGGAGAGGGAACGUAUCUGAGUCUGUUUCUUGUUACUCAACAUCAGUGCUUGUUUUGGGCCCCUUUGUUUGCUGCCUUGUAAAAAUCGAAAGGGG
rnacentral:lncRNA from 1 species